CCUACGGGUGGCAGCAGUGGGGAAUAUUGGACAAUGGGGGCAACCCUGAUCCAGCCAUGCCGCGUGUGUGAAGAAGGCCCUCGGGUUGGAAAGCACUUUCAGUGAGGAAGAACGCCUGGUGGUUAAUACCCAUCAGGAAAGACAUCACUCACAGAAGAAGCACCGGCUAACUCCGUGCCAGCAGCCGCGGUAAUACGGAGGGUGCGAGCGUUAAUCGGAAUUACUGGGCGUAAAGCGCGCGUAGGUGGCUUGAUAAGCCGGUUGUGAAAGCCCCGGGCUCAACCUGGGAACGGCAUCCGGAACUGUCAAGCUAGAGUGCAGGAGAGGAAGGUAGAAUUCCCGGUGUAGCGGUGAAAUGCGUAGAGAUCGGGAGGAAUACCAGUGGCGAAGGCGGCCUUCUGGACUGACACUGACACUGAGGUGCGAAAGCGUGGGUAGCAAACAGGAUUAGAUACCCCGGUAGUC
rnacentral:rRNA from 1 species